rnacentral:rRNA from 1 species
AUUGAACGCUAGCGGGAUGCUUUACACAUGCAAGUCGAACGAGUGGCGGACGGGUGAGUAAUGUAUCGGGACCUGCCCAAUAGAGGGGGAUAACUACUGGAAAGGGUGGCUAAUACCGCAUACUAUUGGAGCGGCCCAUAUGGGAUUAGCUAGUUGGUGGGGUAAAGGCUCACCUAGGCGACGAUCCCUAGCUGGUCUGAGAGGAUGAUCAGCCACACUGGGACUGAGACACGGCCCAGACUCCUACGGGAGGCAGCAGUGGGGAAUAUUGCACAAUGGGCGCAAGCCUGAUGCAGCCAUGCCGCGUGUAUGAAGAAGGCCCUAGGGUUGUAAAGUACUUUCAGUCGGGAGGCGUUACCGACAGAAGAAGCACCGGCUAACUCCGUGCCAGCAGCCGCGGUAAUAC